rnacentral:rRNA from 1 species
AGUGAACGCUGGCGGUAGGCCUAACACAUGCAAGUCGAACGGCAGCACAGUAAGAGCUUGCUCUUACGGGUGGCGAGUGGCGGACGGGUGAGGAAUACAUCGGAAUCUACUUUUUCGUGGGGGAUAACGUAGGGAAACUUACGCUAAUACCGCAUACGACCUACGGGUGAAAGCAGGGGAUCUUCGGACCUUGCGCGAUUGAAUGAGCCGAUGUCGGAUUAGCUAGUUGGCGGGGUAAAGGCCCACCAAGGCGACGAUCCGUAGCUGGUCUGAGAGGAUGAGCAGCCACACUGGAACUGAGACACGGCCCAGACUCCUACGGGAGGCAGCAGUGGGGAAUAGUGGACAAUGGGCGCAAGCCUGAUCCAGCCAUACCGCGUGGGUGAAGAAGGCCUUCGGGUUGUAAAGCCCUUUUGUUGGGAAAGAAAAGCAGCAGGUUAAUACCCCGCUGUUCUGACGGUACCCAAAGAAUAAGCACCGGCUAACUUCGUG